rnacentral:rRNA from 1 species
UACGGAGGGUGCAAACGUUGCUCGGAAUUAUUGGGCGUAAAGCGCACGUAGGCGGUCCAGCAAGUCGGGUGUGAAAGCCCUCGGCUUAACCGAGGAAGUGCAUUCGAAACUACUGGGCUUGAGUACUGAAGAGGAUCGCGGAAUUCCCGGUGUAGAGGUGAAAUUCGUAGAUAUCGGGAGGAACACCAGUGGCGAAGGCGGCGAUCUGGGCAGAUACUGACGCUGAGGUGCGAAAGCGUGGGGAGCAAACAGG